AGGUGAUAUACUAAUACAACAUAAAGAAGCUGGCCAGAUUCAUGGUGACAGGUGAUAUACUAAUACAACAUAAAGAAGCUGGCCAGAUUAAUGUUGACAGGUGAUAUACUAAUACAACAUAAAGAAGCUGGCCAGAUUCAUGUUGACAGGUGAUAUACUAAUACAACAUAAAGAAGCUGGCCAGAUUCAUGGUGACAGGUGAUAUACUAAUACAACAUAAAGAAGCUGGCCAGAUUCAUGGUGACAGGUGAUAUACUAAUACAACAUAAAGAAGCUGGCCAGAUUCAUGUUGACAGGUGAUAUACUAAUACAACAUAAAGAAGCUGGCCAGAUUAAUGUUGACAGGUGAUAUACUAAUACAACAUAAAGAAGCUGGCCAGAUUCAUGUUGACAGGUGAUAUACUAAUACAACAUAAAGAAGCUGGCCAGAUUCAUGGUGACAGGUGAUAUACUAAUACAACAUAAAGAAGCUGGCCAGAUUCAUGUUGACAGGUGAUAUACUAAUACAACAUAAAGAAGCUGGCCAGAUUCAUGGUGACAGGUGAUAUACUAAUACAACAUAAAGAAGCUGGCCAGAUUAAUGUUGACAGGUGAUAUACUAAUACAACAUAAAGAAGCUGGCCAGAUUCAUGUUGACAGGUGAUAUACUAAUACAACAUAAAGAAGCUGGCCAGAUUCAUGGUGACAGGUGAUAUACUAAUACAACAUAAAGAAGCUGGCCAGAUUCAUGUUGACAGGUGAUAUACUAAUACAACAUAAAGAAGCUGGCCAGAUUCAUGGUGACAGGUGAUAUACUAAUACAACAUAAAGAAGCUGGCCAGAUUCAUGUUGACAGGUGAUAUACUAAUACAACAUAAAGAAGCUGGCCAGAUUCAUGGUGACAGGUGAUAUACUAAUACAACAUAAAGAAGCUGGCCAGAUUCAUGGUGACAGGUGAUAUACUAAUACAACAUAAAGAAGCUGGCCAGAUUCAUGUUGACAGGUGAUAUACUAAUACAACAUAAAGAAGCUGGCCAGAUUCAUGGUGACAGGUGAUAUACUAAUACAACAUAAAGAAGCUGGCCAGAUUCAUGUUGACAGGUGAUAUACUAAUACAACAUAAAGAAGCUGGCCAGAUUCAUGGUGACAGGUGAUAUACUAAUACAACAUAAAGAAGCUGGACAGAUUCAUGUUGACAGGUGAUAUACUAAUACAACAUAAAGAAGCUGGCCAGAUUCAUGGUGACAGGUGAUAUACUAAUACAACAUAAAGAAGCUGGCCAGAUUCAUGUUGACAGGUGAUAUACUAAUACAACAUAAAGAAGCUGGCCAGAUUCAUGGUGACAGGUGAUAUACUAAUACAACAUAAAGAAGCUGGCCAGAUUCAUGUUGACAGGUGAUAUACUAAUACAACAUAAAGAAGCUGGCCAGAUUCAUGGUGACAGGUGAUAUACUAAUACAACAUAAAGAAGCUGGCCAGAUUCAUGGUGACAGGUGAUAUACUAAUACAACAUAAAGAAGCUGGCCAGAUUCAUGGUGACAGGUGAUAUACUAAUACAACAUAAAGAAGCUGGCCAGAUUCAUGUUGACAGGUGAUAUACUAAUACAACAUAAAGAAGCUGGCCAGAUUCAUGGUGACAGGUGAUAUACUAAUACAACAUAAAGAAGCUGGCCAGAUUCAUGUUGACAGGUGAUAUACUAAUACAACAUAAAGAAGCUGGCCAGAUUCAUGGUGACAGGUGAUAUACUAAUACAACAUAAAGAAGCUGGCCAGAUUCAUGUUGACAGGUGAUAUACUAAUAAAAAGCACAUAACCUGAUUCAAGCAUUCAUGACAUCACACGGAAGAAGGCACAGUGAUGCUGAAACGUUGGUGUUUUACCCAAUAAAUUACUGGUUUUGGUCGUUUUUUUCGCCUACAUAGAUUCAUAACCGUUGUUAAACUGUAUAUUUUGGUACAUGUGUAACUUUAUACACGAUGCAGUUCUAAAUAUUUGAGAAUUAAAGUAGAAUAAAUAUUUGAUUAUUUUCUUUGCCAUUAUUGAUUUAGUUCAAAUGUCUUUGUUAGUGUUAGGAAUGUCUUGAUUUGGUCUGCCUCGCUACCUGUUAUGUGGCUGUUUGAAGGUUAUUAAGUGGAGGUACUUACUCCGUUUUUUUAAAUAUCCUUAUAAAGCUUUAUCGACAAACAGCUUUAUCGACAGAUAUAAAGGCUCAAAGGCUAUUUAGAGUACGGAGAGAAGGUGGAGAAAGAAAGAGACAGUCAGAGAGAGCGACGGAGAGGGAGAGAGAGUGGUUGAUGUCUGGGGUCUGCUCGCCAAACAAGCAUUCACAAAAUGGGAGAAAAACCCAAUUGAAACUCUUCAUGCAGAAUUCUGCAAAAACAUCCUCGUGUACAACGUUAAACCCCAAAUAAUGGAUGCAGAGUAGAAUUAGGCCGAUACCCUCUAAUUAUCCAAAUCCAGAAAAGAGCUGUUAAAUUCUACAACCACCUAAAAGGAAGCGAUUCCCAAACCUUCCAUAACAAAGCCAUCACCUACUGAGAGAUGAACCUGGAGAAGAGUCCCCUAAGCAAGCUGGUCCUGGGGCUCUGUUCACAAACACAAACACACCCCACAGAGCCCCAGGACAGCGACACAAUUAGAACCAAUCAAAUCAUGAGAAAACAAAAUAUAAUUACUUGACACAUUGGAAAGAAUUAACCAAAAACAAAGCAACCUAGAAUGCUUUUUGGCCCUAAACAGAGAGUACACAGUGGCAGAAUACCUGACCACUGUGACUGACCUAAAAUUAAGGAAAGCUUUGACUAUGUACAGACUCAGUGUGCAUUGCCUUGCUAUUGAGAGAGACCGCCAUAGUCAGAUCUGGCCCUCAAGAGAAGACAGGCUAUGUGCACACUGCCCACAAAAUGAGGUGGAAACUGAACUACUGUUCAGUUUAAA